rnacentral:lncRNA from 1 species
UUUUUUAACAAGUCUUUAUCUUUUUAUUUUAUUUUAUUUUAUUUUAAUAACGAAAAAUAUUCUGUUUUGUUUUCUUUUAUUAUUAAGACAGUAAAUUUCAUAACUUACAUAAUUUACAUAACUUACAUAAUAACGUACAUAAUUUAAAGAUCAAAUAUCAUAACUUACAUUUCUUACAUAACUUACAUAAUUUACAUAACUUACAUAAUACAUCAAUUACAUAAUUUAAAGAGAAAAUUUCAUAACUUACAUAAUACAUAACGUAUAUAAGUUAAAGAUCAAAUAUCAUAACUUACAUAAUUUGCAUAACUUAUUAAAGAUCAAAUAUCAUGUUCUUACAUUUCUUACAUAACUUACAUAAUUUACAUAACUUACAUAAUACAUCAAUUACAUAAUAUAAAGAUCAAAUUUCAUAACUUACAUAAUACAUAACUUACAUAAUUUAAAGAUCAAAUUUCAUAAUAAACAACUUACAUAACUUACAUAAUACAUAAGUUACAUAAUUUAAAUAUCAAAUUUUAUAACUUACAUAAUUUAAAGAUUUUACAUAAUCCAUAACUUAAAUAAUUUAAAGAUCAAAUUUUAUAAUAAACAAUUUACAUAAUACAUAAAUAUAUAUAAUAUCAUAAGAAAAUCCAACUUAAUUACACUUAUAAAGCAAGUACUUACCCGUGGAAUUUAUUGUCAAGUUUAGACUUCAACAACUUACAUAACUUACAUAACUUACAUAAUACAUAACUUUCAUAACUUACAUUAUACACAACUUACAUAAUUUACAUAACUUAUAUAGCUUACAUUCUACACAAGUUACAUAACAUACAUAAUACACAACUUACAUAACAUACAUAAUACAUAACUUACAUAGCUUACAUAAUACAUAAGUUACAUAAGUUACAUAACUUACAUAACUUAUAUAAUACAUAACUUACAUAAUUUACUUAAUACAUAAAUAUAUAUCAUAUCAUAACUAACAUAACUCAUUUAUACUUAUCAUAACAACUUACCCUUGUAAUUUCUGGUAAAAAUCAAACUUCAAGAAUUAAGAAAUGGACCGGUCUUGGAUGAAUUUGUCAAGGGUAAGCAAGAUCAAUUUGGUUUUACAAUGGUGAACUUCGCUCGAUUGAUUCAUGCAGGACAACAACUGAUAGAUGAGCUGUAUGUAUUCUCUUCUCAAGUCAAACAAGUCUUUUACUCAAAAGAUCUAACUGAUGAGGGUUGGUACGUUGUACCUCGUAACAUCCCUAGAGACUUGUUUAAUUAUAUGUAAUAUCAUAAUAUAAAUCUUGGUCUUAUUAUAUACUUCAACUAUUUUAUGUGUAUUGCAGAUACAAUGCCUAGAAGAAAAGUGCGAGAUCUAAGUAUUGUUCAAAAUACUCCAAACUCAGUAGAAACAAAUAGUGAACAACAGACUGCUAUUGGAUCUUCGAAUGUUCCGAUUACACCUAACGAACCUACAAAAAUUCAAAGUAAUUUAACAUUUAAUUUACAUGCGUAUUGACUUAUUUUUAAAAUUCUUAUGUUAUAAUAUAACAUUUUCAGCUGAAAGUGGUGGGACGCGUAGAGUUCGAGGACAUACGGUGGUUAGGGAUUUAUAUGAGCUAGAUCCAGUCGAGCGUGUCAAAGUAUGCAAAAGCAGUUGUGGUCAGUCGGUUGGAUCAGAAGCUCGACUUUUAGUAGGAUACUUGGCAUUCUAGCACGAAAUGAAAAUAUGUUGCCUAUCAACUACGAGUCAUGGCAUAAAAUGCCCGAUAGUAACAAAAACCAAGCUCUUGAUAAUAUUAAGUUAACAAAACGUUAAUGUCAUUUAUAAUACUUGGGUUUAAGUUUCAUUUAUAUUUACUUUCUUAACUUGUGUUUUUUGUAGGCGAGGUUUGCUUUAGAGAUCUCAGAUACUUAUGUAAUGAAUGCAUUGGGAAAAAUAUGGAGAGACCAUAAAAGUACUUUAAAGAAAGAUUAUUUUAAGACAAAAACAACCCUCGAAGAGAAAUUGCAAAAUGUCCCACCGGAAAUGCUUAGGUACCAAUGGGAAGAAGCGAUUAGAUUUUGGAUUUCGAAGAAAGGAGAGGUAUGACGUACUUCCAAAAUCUUGUAAUUAUUUUGGUUUAUAGUAUUUACUAUUUACGUACUAAUAAUUUCAUAACGUAGGAUCGUGAACGAGUUGGAAAAAGCAGCAGGCGGCAACAGAAAUUCACUCACACAGCUGGGUCGGAAAGUUUUGCUUGUGUAGCUGAGGCCGAGGUAUUUUGAAUUUUUUAAUAGUGUCAUAUAUUUAUUACUUUCCAUUAAAUAAUAUUUUUACUACUAUAUUUUAGGAACUGUCGUCCGGUCAAAAAAUUGGACGCCUUCAACUUUUUGACAUUACACAUAGGAAGAAAGAUGGAUCGCCUAUGACACCUGAAGCUGCAGAAAUUAUGGUACGUCUACUUAAUAAAAUUUUACUUGUUUUAAAUAUUUAUAGUUUUUAUUUUCUAAUGGUUUAAUUCAUUUCUUGUAAUGCAAAUAUUGUUAACUUAUGUUGCAUUUGUUUUUUUAAUAUAUAUUGCGUUACUAACUAUGUGAUUUAUUUAUUAGGACAAACUAAAGGAUAAAAAGACGGAGUAUGAAGCGAUUGCUUCCAGUGAUAAUUCUGUUCAUCUUGACGACAUUGAUAACCGGAUUAUUACUGAAGUUUUGGGUCCUAAAAGGUAUGGUCGGGUUCGAUUUCAAGGAUCUUUUGUUAACCCAACCCAAUAUUUUGGAUCCAGCUCGUAGCAAUACAUGCCUUCGGGGAGUCAGGCUCAAGCUGAAGUUCAGAGGUUAAAAGACCAGAUGGCUCAGAUGCAAGCGACCAAAGUUGAGGUUCAAAGGAAAUAUGAAGAACUCUAGGUACAACUUAAAGCAGAGGCGGCAGCGAGGGAAGUAGAGGCUGCAGUGAGAGAAGCAGAGUAGAGCAAAAAGUACGACGAACUCCAACAGCAGCUUCAGAAUAUGAUGAAGAUGUUUCAGCAAUCGCAACAUCCGCCUUCAUAGUGUAUUGUAUAAAUAUUUUUAUCAUUUUAACUUUUAACAUUUUUGUAAAAAUAAUAUGAAUUAUAUUAUAUUUAUAUUAUAUUAUAUUUUUCGUUUAAUUUGAAAUAUUUUAUAGAUUUAUUGCUUUUGGCUGGUUUAGAUUUGAUUGCUUUUGAUUUGUUGCUACAGGAGGGCUGAAAAUAUGAAAAAUUUUAUUUUACAAAUAUCCCAAAAUUAGUGGCGUUUUUUAAAAAAACACCGCUAAAGCUUAUGGUUCUUUACUGGCGUUUAUAGAAAAAGUGCCACUAAAGUCACCAAACAAUAGCGACGUUUGUGGGAAAAGCGUCGCUAAAAGUCAUGAUCUAUAGCGGAUUUUGUGUGAAAAGCGUCGCUAAAGGUCAUGAUCUAUAGCGGCAUUUAUGAAACAAGCGCCGCUAAAGGUCAUGAUCUUUAGCGGCGUUUGUGGGAAAAGCGCCGCUAAAGGUCAUGGCCUUUAGCGGACCUUAUUUCUAAAAACGCCACAAAUGUUAGCAACGCUGCCAAUAGCGGUGUUUGCGGCGCUUAAAGGCCUUAAAAAGCACCGCUAAAACCCUGUUUUGGUGUAGUGAUUAUUCUGUAAUAAUCAAGUGUGUUACUUGUUUAAGUGUCUUAAGCUUUCAAGGGGAAAAUUUAGAGGGAAAAUGUUUAGAUAUUAGGUAUAAAAGUGAAAAGUCUAAUUUGGUGAUCGUUAGAGCUUGAGUUCACUUGUUGCAUGUGGAGUUAAGAUACUAAAUAUUUUUUCUAGGUAAGGUCCUACAGAUGUAGGGAAACCGAACUGCGUAGGCAUCACUUGUAUUCUUUAUUUUUGUGCACCUUACAUUUUUGUGCUUGAAGUAGUUGGAAUUAGUGUUGGCACUGCUUCUAACAUUGCUUGUGUUGACUGUCAAAAUAUAAAUUUGGACCGAACAAUUAUGACAUAAAUUACAUAAUAUAUAAAAAACACGUGACUAUAUGAUUAUAAAUAAAUAUUAUAAAAAACGUAUAUAAACAUCCACUUAUUGUAAAAUUAUUGCUUGGUAAAAUCAUUGUUUAACAUUGUAAAAUAUUUUAAUAAUGUUUAAAACUCCAAACAAAAAUAUAUUCAAACAUUGAAUUUUUAAUAAUUAAAUAUUAAUUUUAGUAUCGCUCAUAUAAAAAAUUGAUUUCAAUAAGUAAAUAUUGUAAAAUAUUUAAUAAUUCAAAAAUUCAAAACAAAUAUAUAUUCAAUGAAAACUUAAAAAAAAAUAAUGUUUAGACAUAAAAAAUUGUGACUUAAAAAAAGUUGUCUAACAAUUUUUUAAUAUUUGAUUAAAAAAGUAAUACUAUUUAAAAACUUAAUUAAAUAAAUUUUUGCUAGAAAUGCUUAAGGAUGAUAAUAAACCUUAUUAUUUUCUAAAAUAAUAUGAAUUAAAUUAAUUUUUUAAAAAUAAAUACAAUUUAAAAUUUCUAAACAAUAAAUUUUUUGAAGUUUCUUUUGAAUAUAUAUAUUUUUUGAAGCUUUAAGCAUUACUUAAAAUUUAAACAAAUAUUAUAAUUAAAAAAGUUUAACAUUAUUUUUACUUUUAAAAUUUGUUUUUAACACUUUUUUAAAAAAAAUAUUUAACAAUGUUUUGGAAAAUUAACUCUAUUGUUAAACAUGUUUCAUUUUUUAAUAGUAUUAGAUAUAUAUUAAAAUAUGUAUUUAACCAUAUUUAAAUUUCACAUAAAAUUUUACUUUUUCUAAUUAUAUUUUUAAGUGUUGAAUAUUUUUUAAAAUAAUUUAUCAGUAAUCAAGUUUUUUUUAAAUAAUUAAUGAUUUAAAAAAUAAUAUAAAUAUAUCUUUAUAAAUAUUAUUUUUUAUUAUAAAAUAUUAUAGUAUUAUUUUAAAUGUUUAACAUUAAAAAAUAUUAUAAUAUUAUUAAAUAAUUGUGACAUUACUUAAUUGUGGUUAGUUUCCAUAUAUACAGUAAUUAAUUUGUUAAUUUUCAACAUCUGCCACUUGACAAAAAUCUAACUUACUGUUUCCAUUUUUGAGUCUAUAUAUUACUAUAGAUAAUAUAUAUAUGAUAAUAUAAAAUAAUAUGAAGAUAAAAAUAAAAUAAUAUAUAAACAUAAUAUAACAUAAUAUAUAUAAAUAACAUAAUUAGAAAAUGAAUAGGUUGAAUUGAGCUCCAACCUUAAAUUUUGAUGUAUAAAUCCAGCUCAUAUUUUAAACUCUGCCCCCAUGCAACAUGUUUAAAGGUUUCAAUUACACAUAUAUGGUUAUAUACACAUACAUUUCUUUUUAAUCGAUAUUUUUAGUUAAUCAAGUAAUUGAUGAAUCUUAUUUAUUAAUUUUUUAUAAUUCUUAAUAAUUUUUAUAAUUCAUAUAUAUAUACAACAAUAAUAUUUCAUAAUAAUCCUUUACUAUUAAUGUUUUAAAAAAUAAAUAUUUUUAAUAAUUUUCUAUAAUUAUUUAAUAGUAUUUAAUAAUUAUUUAAAAAAAAACACAAUAUAAACAAAUACUUAAUUAAGCUCAUUUAGACCUAAACAAUCAUUUGUCCAAACUCAUUUGGACGUUAUUUCUUAAAAUUUAAUAAUUUUUUUGAUAAUUUUUAAAUAUUUUCUAUAAUUAUUUAAAAAAUUCAGGAUGAACCUGGAUAACUAUUUGUCCAUAUUUAUUUGAACAAAGACAAUCAUUUGUUCAAGUUCAUCUUAGACAUGGUUCAUCCUAAACAUUAAUAUUAAGUAUAUAUAGCACACUAAGUGUCACUGCUUGGUUGCUUCGUCAAUAAUGUUAUCACUUAUUUGUAGAAAUGGAUAAAUUUUUAACAAAAAAUCUAAUUUUUUUCAUUGAUAUAAUAUAUAAAAAUUAAUUAAUUUAUUUUCUUUAAUAAAGAGAAUAAAAUACAAUCUUCUGGUCAAUUAAAAAAAAUUACAUCACAGUUAUCUAAACCGGACAUAGACGGAUACAACGAAUACAUAACCACCCAAGUUUAGACACGCAAUCCCACUUGAAAUGAGUUAAUUAGAUAGAGUGUGUGAGUGAUAGUUGUAAAAAAAGAAAACGUCUCUUUCUAUUAAAUUAAUUCUAAAAUAACCUGAAAUUAAAAACUAUAUUAUAUGAUAUGGUUGGUGAAGUCUUUAGUCGUUACUUUAUACUUGAACUAAUAUUAAUAUACAAUUUAAUAGCGGAAAAACAUUAAUAAUUCAUACUACUUAUCAACAAGGUAUUGCAUGUUUCUAUCUGGCUAGUGCAUGCAGCCAAGCCAAUGAACUUCUCCCCUCCAUGCAUAUACUGAUUACUUACUAAAGAAACCUUAUUUUAAAGAAAAGCAGAAGUUUAAAACAAAGAGAAUUUAUAAAAACAAACUAAAUCAACAGGAAACUUGAACGUUAUUCACCCAAAAUAUAAACGAUCAAACACAAUAACACAGCUAAUCAAGCAUUAAUACAUGUAAUUAUUUUAUACACUGUAAAAAAAGUUUUUAAAUUUCAUAAACAUAUUUGAAAAAGUGAUAUGUGUUUUAUUUUGUCUUCUACUAUAUACCUUACAAUUACAUGUCACUCUUUCGAUUUACUUAUGAAUAGUGUAUGAAAUAAGUUAUAUAAUAUCAUAACGCGAGGGUGCAGAAAUAGGCAAUUGCCUAUGCUGCAUUGCUGGACCCCUGGCAUUCGUUCCCAGCAGAGUCUAGAAGGGAAGUGAAGUUCCCAGGGUGAACCUUAUUCCUUCCGGAAACAGUAGGUUUUCUCUCUUCAAUGGCACCAGUAGUACCACUGGUUUCCCCUCUCCUUACACUUUCUUCUUCCAUUCUCUUCAUCUUUUCCUUCUGGCGCUUACGCAUCAGAUAAACCUCAGCACAGCUAGCUCCAAUGGAAGACAUGAUAACAACACAACUCAAAAACAAUGGAGAAUAAUUUGUCAAAUGUUACUUGUAUUGUGGGAUGAGGAGGAAUCUCCAAGGCAGGACUAUUUAUAGACUAAGAAGGGGGGGGGGUGACUGGUGAGCUAGCCAUCACUAAUCCACACUUCUAAGCUAAUUAAUUUAAUUAUGGAAAGCAUUAAUUAUUAUCUUAAUGCAAC